UACGUAGGUGGCAAGCGUUGUCCGGAUUUACUGGGCGUAAAGAGCGCGCAGGCGGCCAAGUCAGUCGAAUGUGAAAGCCCCCGGCUCAACUGGGGAGGGUCAUUCGAUACUGCUCGGCUCGAAGACAGGAGAGGGAAGUGGAAUUCCCGGUGUAGUGGUGAAAUGCGUAGAUAUCGUGAGGAACACCAGAGGCGAAGGCGGCUACCUGGACAAUUGCUGACGCUCAGGCACGAAAGCGUGGGGAGCAAAAGGG
rnacentral:rRNA from 1 species